AGGAUGAACGCUGGCGGCGUGCCUAACACAUGCAAGUCGAACGUCCUGUCUCGCAAGAGGCAGGGAGUGGCGGACGGGUGAGUACCACGUGGGUCAUCUACCGUGAGGUGAGGAAUACCGGCGAGAAAUCGCCGACAAGACCGCAUAGGCUCGAUGCAAGUCGAGCAAAGCUCUUUCGAGAGAGGGAGCGCCACACGAGGAGCCUGCGCCCGAUUAGCUAGCUGGUGGAGUAACGGUUCACCAGGGCGACGAUCGGUAGCUGGUCUGAGAGGACGAUCAGCCACACUGGGAUUGAGAACGGCCCAGACUCCUACGGGGGGCAGCAGUGAGGAAUUUUCGUCAAUGGGGGCAACCCUGAACGAGCAACGCCGCGUGCAGGAAGAAGGUUUUCGGAUCGUAAACUGCUUUUCUCGGGGAAGAGAACGGACGGUACCCGAGGAAUCAGCCCCGGCUAACUACGUGCCAGCAGCCGC
rnacentral:rRNA from 1 species